AGAGUUUGAUCCUGGCUCAGAUUGAACGCUGGCGGCAUGCCUAACACAUGCAAGUCGAGCGGAAACGACAGGAGCUUGCUCCUGGGCGUCGAGCGGCGGACGGGUGAGUAACGCGUGGGAACGUGCCCUGUAGUUGGGGAUAACCCGGGGAAACUCGGGCUAAUACCGAAUAUGCUCUACGGAGCAAAGGAGGCCUCUGAUUCAAGCUUUCGCUACAGGAUCGGCCUGCGUCCGAUUAGCUAGUUGGUGAGGUAAUGGCUCACCAAGGCCACGAUCGGUAGCUGGUCUGAGAGGAUGAUCAGCCACAUCGGGACUGAGACACGGCCCGAACUCCUACGGGAGGCAGCAGUGGGGAAUAUUGGACAAUGGGGGAAACCCUGAUCCAGCAAUGCCGCGUGUGUGAAGAAGGCCUGCGGGUUGUAAAGCACUUUCAGUAGUGAGGAAAACUCUGGGACGAAUAAUCCCGGAGCUUGACAUUAGCUACAGAAGAAGCACCGGCUAACUCCGUGCCAGCAGCCGCGGUAAUACGGAGGGUGCAAGCGUUAAUCGGAAUUACUGGGCGUAAAGCGUGCGUAGGCGGUUUAGUAAGUCGGGUGUGAAAGCCCCGGGCUCAACCUGGGAAUUGCAUCCGAUACUGCUGAACUAGAGUGUGACA
rnacentral:rRNA from 1 species